CAGCAGCCACGGGAAUACGUAGGGUGCAAGCGUUAAUCGGAAUUACUGGGCGUAAAGCGUGCGCAGGCGGUUCGGAAAGAAAGAUGUGAAAUCCCAGAGCUUAACUUUGGAACUGCAUUUUUAACUACCGGGCUAGAGUGUGUCAGAGGGGGGUGGAAUUCCACGUGUAGCAGUGAAAUGCGUAGAUAUGUGGAGGAACACCGAUGGCGAAGGCAGCCCCCUGGGAUAACACUGACGCUCAUGCACGAAAGCGUGGGGAGCAAACAGGAUUAGAUACCCGCGUAGUCCCUGUCUCUUAUAC
rnacentral:rRNA from 1 species